UGCGGUUGUAUCAUUCGUGUGAACCUAAACAUAGGACUCCACGAACACAAACACAAACACAAAAACAGAAACUGAGUUCUAUCGGUUCCUCAAUUCAUGCUCUGUUCACUUCACUGAUUCUCUUCCUCUUGUCAGGUUGAAAAUCGAAUUCUAAAUGCUAAAUCUGAGUUCUAGGGUCUUCAUGUUGAACUUCAGUUUCAAUUUUGUAGAAUCAUGAGUGAUCUUUGGCAUUAUGUUAAUAUAGCUUAGCUUUUUCUAAAAAAAGAAGUUUUUUUUUUUUUAAUUUGGUGAAGGUAACAAGUGAUGGGUAGACGAAAAAGUAAACCGCGUAGAUCAGGUGGGGUAAUACUAGAAACAAAUGCUACUGCUGACACAGAAUUUGAUAAAGAGAAGGUUGGAGAAGCAGGGGAAGAAGCAAGGGAUAAUUCUGGUGACAUUGAUGAACCUUAUUUUGUUGAGGUUGACCGGUCCAGUUGGUUGUCAAGUGAACAUCUUGAUAUUUCUGAAGUUAUUUUAAGUGAUUUAAAUUUGAGAGAAGGUUUUUCUGGGUUUGAACUAUCUGAGGGGUUUUAUCAGGAUCCCCAGUACUCGUUAAGAUUUCGGGUGUGUAAUGUCAAUAAUGUUCUUGGUAGAAUUAAAUUAGGCCAUUGGCCUGUGUUACCCUAUACUGAUAUUCAUCUAGAGUUAGUAAAAUGGGACACAGUAGACAAUGUGGAAACAUGUACAGUGUUAUUAUCUGGUAUUUUUGAUGGACCUGAUGAAGGUGUUUCUGGUCUUCUUCACUUGGCAAGUUUAAAAUUUGUAACAUUGAGGACAGUUCUUGGGGUUAGGCUUUCUGAGGACAUUCAUUCCCUCAGGAUAAGGGUUGAGGUACUAAAGAGUGCCUUCGAUGCAUGCGAGUCGCUUCUCGAGGCUUCUAGACAAUUAUGGAAAAAGAGUAUGAUGAAUGUCAUGUCUUGGCUACGUCCAGAAAUAAUGAUUUCCGAAGUUAGGUAUGGGUUUGGUAACUGCAAGAAAAUGGAAGUUGACCAGAAGACAGAGACGGGAGACGGCAGGAAAUAUUCGAGGUUUGAUCCUGCAGGUUUUUAUGAGGCCAUUAAGCCUUCAAAAUCCGAGCCAAUGCUCGAAGAUGAAAUACCAGAGUUACUUCCUGAACUGAGGCCAUAUCAACGGCGUGCAGCUUUCUGGAUGGUAGAACGGGAGAAAGCACUGAAAGAAAGUCAGGGUGAAAGAGAAAGAAAUCAGUUUCAUUCUCCAUUAUGUGUGCCUGUGGAUUUUCUGGACACAAGGUCUAAAAUGUUUUUCAAUCCAUUCAGCUAUAAUAUCUUCAGUGGAAAUAUUUCAUUGUGCCCAGAGACUCCUUCACCUUAUGUACUUGGAGGCAUUCUUGCUGAUGAGAUGGGCUUGGGUAAAACUGUUGAAUUGCUCGCUUGCAUCUAUGCUCACCGGAGAUCAGCAUCUGGAAGCGACACACUAAUUGAGUCAGUGCCCCAAGUUAACGGGGACCAAAAUAUCACUUUAAAAAGACUCAAAAGAGAACGAGUGGAGUGCAUAUGUGGGGCUGUGAACGAAAGUAUCAAAUAUCAAGGGCUAUGGGUUCAAUGUGACAUUUGCGAUGCUUGGCAACAUGCAGAUUGUGUUCGUUAUUCACCUAAAGGAAAAUCACUGAAAUCAAAACAAGGAUCUGAAAGCAAGACAUAUAAAACUACCAUAGCUGUGAGGGAUGGGGAAUAUGUAUGUCAGAUGUGCUCUGAACUAAUACAAGCUACUGAAUCUCCUAUUGCCUCCGGUGCCACUCUCAUUGUCUGCCCUGCUCCUAUUUUGCCCCAGUGGCAUGAUGAAAUUAUACGUCAUACACGUCCAGGCUCCUUGAAAACUUGUAUUUAUGAAGGCGUGCGGGACACAUCUUUCUCCAAUACGUCUCUGAUGGAUAUCAGUGAUCUUGCAAGUGCUGACAUUGUAAUAACUACAUAUGAUGUGCUUAAAGAGGAUUUGUCCCAUGAUUCUGAUAGACACGAAGGUGAUCGACACUUAUUGAGAUUUCAAAAAAGAUACCCGGUUAUCCCAACUCUUCUUACCAGAAUAUACUGGUGGAGGGUUUGUUUGGAUGAGGCUCAAAUGGUGGAGAGUAAUGCUACUGCUGCCACUGAAAUGGCUCUGAGACUCCAUUCGAAGCAUCAUUGGUGCAUUACAGGGACCCCGAUUCAGCGAAAGCUUGAUGACUUAUAUGGACUUCUAAGAUUCCUUAAAGUUAGUCCUUUCAAUACAUACAGGUGGUGGGCUGAAGUUCUUCGAGAUCCUUAUGAGAAAGGAGAUAUUGGAGCUAUGGAAUUUACACACACAAUUUUCAAGCAAAUCAUGUGGCGUUCUUCUAAAAAACAUGUUGCAGAUGAAUUGGACCUUCCAUCCCAAGAGGAGUGCCUCUCUUGGCUUACACUCUCACCAGUAGAAGAGCACUUUUACCAGAGGCAACAUGAAACUUGUGUUAGAGAUGCCCAUGAAGUUAUUGAAAGUUUGAGAAAUGAUAUUCUAAAUAGAAAAGUCCCAGGUUCUGAAUCUUUGAAUGAUUCCUCUGAUCCUUUAAUCACCCACACAGAGGCAGGGAAGCUACUGAAUGCUUUACUGAAACUUCGUCAGGCUUGUUGUCAUCCCCAGGUUGGAAGUUCUGGUUUGCGUUCCCUGCAGCAGUCACCUAUGACCAUGGAGGAAAUACUAAUGGUUCUUAUAAAUAAGACCAAGAUCGAAGGGGAGGAAGCUCUUAGGAGGUUAGUUGUUUCUCUGAAUGGGCUUGCAGCAAUAGCUACAAUUCAACAAGAUUUUUCUCAAGCUGCAUUAUUGUACAAUGAAGCCCUUACUUUGACUGAAGAGCAUUCUGAAGAUUUCCGCCUGGAUCCUUUGUUAAAUAUUCACAUUCAUCAUAAUCUUGCUGAAACACUCCCGCUGGCAGAAAAUGUUGCAUUGAUAUUGCCUUCCAAAGGAAAGCAAUUCUCUGGAACUUCUGCAGUUAAGUCAACCAGAAAGCAUUUUAUUGCAAAGGUUGAUCGUUGUCUUGUGAAGAGGCAAAAAAUAAGUGGCUGCGAUGAUAAAAAUUUAGAAGUGGCUUCUGCAGAACCAUCACAUAUUGCAUCCAGCCUUUCAGAAAAUGACUUAAAUGAGGAUUUGAAAUUUGAUGAUUUAUCAGCCAGUCCUGUCAAAUCUCUGAUAGCAGAAUGUGAAGAUUCAAAAAAGAAAUACUUAUCUGUGUUUAAUUCAAAAUUAUCUGCUGCUCAACAAGAGUUUCAGAAUUCUUCCACGCAGGUUCGUAAUGCAUAUCGCGAAAGCAGAACAGAUCAAAAUACAUGUUGGUGGUUAGAAGCACUUCAUCAUGCUGAGCAGAACAAGGAUUUCUCAACUGAGUUGAUUAGAAAGAUUGAAGAAGCCAUCUCAGGAAAUUCAAACAAUUCAAAAUCAUCAAGGAUAGCUGCUCGUUUUCGGGGCAUAAGCUCUCUGAAGUAUCAAAUUCAGACAGGUUUAGACCAGUUAGAGGCAUCUAGGAAAGUGCUACUAGAACGACUGUUAGAAAUCGAUCACACGAUGGAAAAUCCGAAGGGUGAAGAUAUUGAACGUGUGGGUAAAUGUCGAAAUUGUCAACCUAAUUGUGAUGGUCCCCCAUGCGUUCUGUGUGAGCUAGACGAACUGUUUCAGGGCUAUGAAGCAAGACUUUUUGUUCUCAAGAACGAACGUGGAGGGAUUAUUUCAUCUGCUGAGGAGGCAGUAGAUCUUCAGAAGAAAAAAUUUGCAUUGAAUCAUUUCCUCUCAAAGCUAUCACAAUCUAAUCACAGUUCAACAGUAUCAGAUAUUGAUAAUGAGGAAUCAAAAAAACGGAAUGUCGGACAAAGAGUUGUGGUUUCAAGAUCAGCAUCUGAGUUGGAGCUUAUUCUUGGAGCUAUGAAGAACUAUUGCAAGGCUCGGUUAGGCAGGGGCAGUGUCUCAGCAGCCACUAGGCAUUUACAUAUGCUUGAGGGAAUGCGAAAGGAGUUUGCCCAUGCAAGGUCUUUAGCAUUAGCUCAAGCUCAAUAUCUACGUGCGCAUGAUGAAAUAAAGAUGGCAGUUUCCCGUUUGCACCUAAGGGCAAAUGAGGAUGAUAAAUCUCUUGAUGCUUUAGGUGAAAAUGAAUUAGUUGCGGCUAGUUCAGACUUUUCCCAUGAGAAGUAUAUGUCAUUGGCCUUGUUGUCACAGAUAAAGGGAAAACUGCGCUACUUACAGGGUUUGGUGCAGUCCAAGCAAAAACUGUCAUUGGAAUCUCCAGAUAGUUCUUCAUUCAUUCAAGAGACAACUAAAAUAUCAAACACUAAGGAAGAGAAGGGUGCGCUCAUAUCUAAAACUGAUGAGGAAACAUGCCCAGUUUGCCAAGAAAAGCUAGGCAAUCAGAGAAUGGUAUUUCAGUGUGGGCAUUUUACAUGCUGUAAAUGUUUAUUUGCGAUGACUGAGCAAAGACUUCAACAUAGCAAGACUCAUAAUUGGGUGAUGUGCCCUACAUGUCGACAACAUACUGAUUUUGGAAACAUUGCCUAUGCUGUUGAUGCACAUAAUGAAUCUUCCAAUUCUUCAAUGCAGCAUACAGUUGACAGCUGUGAAAAAUGUGAAACAUCCAUUAGUGUUAAAGGCUCAUAUGGAACUAAGAUUGAAGCCGUCACAAGAAGAAUCUUGUCAAUAAAGGCUACAGAUCAUAAAGAAAAAGUUCUUGUAUUUUCAAGCUGGAAUGAUGUACUUGAUGUAUUGGAACAUGCCUUUGCUGCCAACAACAUUACCUUCGUCCGGAUGAAAGGAGGCAGAAAGGCACAAGUUGCCAUCAAUCAAUUUAGGGGAAAGCAGAAUGGCACAAAAGGAUGUGAGAAGUCAACACCAAAAUCUAUUCAAGUAUUAUUGCUUUUAAUCCAACAUGGAGCCAAUGGCCUCAAUCUUUUGGAAGCACAGCAUGUAGUCCUUGUAGAGCCAUUGCUCAAUCCAGCUGCUGAAGCACAAGCAAUCAGCCGUGUACAUCGUAUUGGACAAAAGAAUAAGACCCUCAUUCAUCGUUUCAUUGUAAAAGACACAGUUGAAGAUAGCAUAUAUAAAUUGAACAGGAGCAGGAGCAACCAUUCAUUCAUUAGUGGGAACACAAAAAACCAAGAUCAACCUGUUUUGACCCUGAAGGAUGUUGAGUCCUUGCUGUCAAGAACACCAGUAACCAUGCCAGAAAGUGAUGAAAAUCCUAUUGCAAAUGCAGACCUGAGAAACUUUCCACCAUCAAUGGCUGCGGCUAUAGCUGCUGAGAGGAGACUUAAUGAUCAUAGGACAUGAUUUUGUUUUUCUCCUCAUCUCAGAUGGUUCAAAAGAUGCUGGUAGAGUAGGCACGUGUGCAACCGUGCAAUAAUCAGUUGGCGAUGUCGUUGCAGUUGACAAGAUCCCAUCCAUUAGCGGCACUUUACUUGCAAUUUGGAGACAUUAACACAAGCUGGAGAGGAAGGGGUAGUGGCUGACGAAGACCAGGCUGACUCAAGGUUCUUAUAUAAGGUGGUUAAGGAGAUAAAUCUCAUUAUCCUAGCACUUCCUGUACAAUCAAUGUUGCGUUGGUGAAGUUCAAGGAAGUUGACACUCAUUAGAAAAAUUCCAGAGUGUUCUGGCUGAGCUGAAUGCUAAGAUGGAACGAGUUGAUAAGCUUUUGUCAAACUAUUACAGUGAUGGUGUUGAAGGACUUCAAACGAAAGAUCCAAUAGCUGGUUCUAGCAGUGUUGGCGGAACUUUUGAGACCAAAAACCGAGGAAAGAAGGCUAUAAAUAAUGUUCUUAUUAUGGGAAAAGAUAUUAUAAGCAUUCAAUUUGACAUCUUUGAAGAUAAUCAAAGCAGGCCACAAAUCCUUCAAAUGUAGGAUCUGGAAAACAACCCCAACUUGCUGGUGUUCUCUAUACUUCGAAGACACUUACUAGAAAAGAUCCAACUAAAGCAACGACUUACAAAAAGUCAUCGUAGUGCUUUAUCAACACAUGUAAGUUUACCUUGAUUAUGUUGGUCUGUGGUGAACCUUGGUCUUAUCUCACAUUUUUCUUUGGAAUUUUUUUUUCGGUACAGCGGAAAACUAUGCCUCUUUGGUCUGCUUCACAUGCAUUUUUUCCUUUGGUCUUUAAAAUGGUUCAAUUUCAUGUUAAAUUAAAAGAAAAUGAGAAUUGAGGUAUGCAUUAGUCAGAGUCAGUCCUUAGGGUUCGCUAUCAUGCACAAUUUUUUUUGUAAUCUUGCACACUCCAAAAUUCCCCCUUAGCCUGUAUUUUCUUUUUUUUUAAAUAAAAAAAAAUACUUUUUCACAUCUCUUUAAGAUAUUAUACUAUGGCCCAAUAAUAAUGUUAUUUGAUUUAGGUCCUCCUAAUUAAGCAUAUCUAAGUUGGUCAUCUAUAAAAAAAAGAUUGGAUUUUUAGCCUUGAGGGAAAGUUAUAAACGUAUGUGUUAAAACUGACAUUUUUCUAAUCAAAUAACACAAUGUAAGUAAUAAAAAAAGACUUACAUGUGUUGAUAAAGCACUACAAAGACUUUUGGUAAGUCAUUGAUUCAUUGUGGGUUUGGUUGGAUCCUUUCUAGUAAAUAUCUUCAAAGUAUACCGAACACCAGCAAGUUUGUUUUACAGAUCCUACAUUAGAAAGCUUCGUGGUCUGCCAAUGUUGUAGUGUUGUGACUAAGGUUCACCAUGGAACUUAUUCUUUGGUGUUGUAGUGAUGAUUAAGACAAGGUUGCAAUCCUAGUCUCGUAUACUACCAAGACAAGGCUUGUGUUAUGGUGUUCUGAACAUCAUUUUCUUUCUUUUUAUGCACAGUGAAUUUAAGACAACAAACAAAACAGGAAAAAAAUAUCAUCAACAUGCUAACUGCUAACAUGAUAAAAAUUCAAAAUUUGUAUAA